AUGGCGAAGGCGGCCAUUCAAGUGGCGGCGGGAGGCAGAGGAAGCCAAUCAAGCCACGAGGACAUCCUUCUUCCCUGGAGGCCUCAACCAUCUUCGGACUGCUUCCGGUUCCAAAUUUACAUUGCCUUUGAAAAACCACUGCCCCUUUCCUCCUGUAACAAUGAAGCAGUUUCUAUUGUGUUUCAUAACUUAAAUACCAGGAAGAAUCACUUUAUCUGCUCAAGUACGUACAUUAUGUCUCCUAUUUCUAAGAAUAGUUGUGGAAACUGGACAUUAGAGAGAAUUUAUGAAAUCAAUUCAUUUCAAAUGUGCUGGAGAAGAUCUGCAGAUGCCACGGACUGCUAAAAUGACAAGUAAACGUGUCCUGGUGCAAAUAAAGCCUGAGCUCUCCCUAGAAACCAAGACGAUUAAACACAAGCCACAUCUACACUGAGCAUUUAAUGCAGUUCGAAGCUAGUGUCAAAGAAGCUCCUUUUCACAAAGUCUUUUUACUCUUGUGUAGGAAGGAAUCCGAAUAAAUCACGAAGUGAAAUAAACAUAUUAAAUCAGCAUGGUGGGAUCAACAUAAAAGAACUGGGAAAAUAUACACAUGCAUUAUUGCAUCAAAAGGUUUCAAAUGUUUAAAGUUUGUCACCUUCCAGUCUAUAUAACUAUUAAUUAAAAUAUAUUUAUCGGUGCAGUUAUCUCACAGUGGCAGGUAAGGAAACCUAAAGCUUGGAACUGUAAUAAAAGUAGUGCUGGGAUGCCAAAUUGAAGCACCUUCUGUCAAACAUUAUAGUUCAUAAAAAAGUACAGAUGAGAGCUCUCAAUAUAACAAGCAGAUUGGCAGUCCUGUAUUAGGACUACUCACUAAUGACACACUUAAGCCCCUUCUAAACUGCCAUAUAAUCCAGUUUAUCUAAGUAGAUAAUCUAAUCUACUUUAGCUGCUUUCAACAGUAUUAUAUGAGUCCACACUGUCAUAUAAUCAAGUUCAAAGCAGAUAAUCUGGAUUUUAUAUGGCAGUAUAGAAAGGGCCUCACGGUAAUUGAUAGGCUACUUCCUAAUUCUUAGGUAUGAUGUACCAUUUAUUAGUAAUCUUGAAUCAUAGAGCUGGAAGAGACCCCAAAGCCAUCCAGUCUAACUUCAUGUGAUUCAUAAACAAAUGAACAUACCUGCUUUGAACUCGAUUAUAUGAGUCUACUGACCUAUACCAAUUCAAAGCAAAUCAUCUGGAUUUUUUUCUGACAACAUAGAAGAGGUCUAAGGCAGCAUAUUCUACUGUUGUACAGCUCUUGCCAUCAGAAAGUUCUUUCUGAUAUUCAGAAGGAAUCCCUUAGAGUAUACUUUAUACGUUUAAAAGCUAAAGGCCUCUUUAGAUUUUGAUGGCAUAACCUCAGAUGUAGGCUAAAAGCAUAUUCUUUUCAUGUUUACUGUAAAAGUUUGACCCAACCUGGUGGAAUGCUAUCAUGUGGUCUUGCCCCAGAACAAGAUGCGCUGUGUGACUUUGCUUCUCGUCAUUGAGGUCCCACUUUCCAUUUAUCAGUGCUAUGAACUUUAAUGCUAUGAACUGUUCAGAUGGUAGGAGAUAAAGUUGUGUAGGAGAGGGUUAUCUACAUGUUAUAGUCAUAAUAUAACAAUUUGGCACCAAGCAAGGCCACACUUCAAACGGACCUCAAGCCUCAUGGUGAUGGUUAAGAGAUAGCCUAUACACUACAUGUAAAAUACAGAAAUUUCCCUGGUUACAUCUGGGAAUAAUACUAAAUUAUAAUUUCCCAAUUCGCCUACUAGUGUGGCCAGUGGCUUGCAGAGGCUGAAAAACAAAACAUCUUUUGCAAGUUUUGCAAACGACAGUAAAUACAGUUUCCUCAUGUGCUCUUCAGCCUGUCCAGCAUUGCCCUGAACACUCCCUAUAGAACAAACCUAUCUGGCUAGCUUUUUUAUAUUAGUAUUUUAAAGAUUUUACAGAAACAAAUAUAACCAGCCAACAAUGCAUCUGAAAUCCACUACAAUGAGGUGUAUUGAGUUUGUGUUUCCUGACUAUCCAGCUAAAAAUGUCCAGCUGACACAACAACAACUAUAGCAGAGUAUCUUUCCAAAAAUCAGCAUGUGAUGAAGGGGGAUAGAAAAGCCUGGCAUUUUCAUUUGAGUAAACUAAUAAAUUUGCCCCAUGUUGUAUAGAAUUUGGAAAUGCCUUGGUUACCUCUAGUAGAUUUUACACUGUCAGUUUUUCCAUUAGCUUGAUGUUCCAGACUCUUAACUACUAAGAAAGUGCUGGGUCAUUUAAGCCUUUCUGAUUAUCUUCAAUCUCUAAAUAUCUUAUUUGUAUAUCUCAAACAUCCCCAUGCAUUCAUUCUGAAGUAAUUUUUUACCUGCAAAUAUAAGCUCCCAUAUAAUGAUUUUUUUGUGAGCCUUCAAGUCAUUUCUGACUUAUGAUGGCUAUAAGGCGACCUAUUGUAUGAUUUCCCUGGUAAAGUUAGUUCAGAGGGUUUUGCCUUCCCUCUGAAGCUGAGAGAGUGAAGGCUCAUCCAAGGUCACCUAGUGGGUUUCCCUGAUCAUUUGGAGAUUUGAACUCUGAUCUCCCAGCUUCCUUAUCCAACACACAAACCACCACACCAUGCAAUGAUUUCCAGUUACAAAGCCUUACUGGUUCAGCAAAGAGGACACAAUUGGAAAGAGAUGGAACAUUUUUAAAAUAUUUAUUUUAUAGCUAGCAUCUAGGUGAGUUACAGGGAGAUUAUAUCUUCCACUUCCACAUAAAUAUAACUUAAAGUCUAAUAGUGGCCUUGGGCAAGUGCUGCUCCUUAAAACGUUCUUCAAAUGUUUUAGAAACUACGUGUAUUUAAACAUUUGCCAAGUGGCAAUUGACCACAGUCUGCAUAUUUGGAGAGCUGUUUAUUGGCCUUCUAAAUGUUGAUUGUAAUUUUUUUUCUGUUUCCUAUCUGAGAUGCAAAAAUGUAAACUUUUCCUUAUCACCUGGAGCCACAGUGGCGCAAUGGGUUAAACUCUUGUGCCGACUGAACUGCUGACCUGAAGGUUGGGUUACUGACCUGAAGGUUGCCGGUUUGAAUCCGCAAGAUGGGGUGAGCUCCCAUCAGUAAGCUCUAGCUUGCGGGGACAUGAGAGAAGCCUCCCAGCAUGAUGGUAACACAUCCGGGCAUCCCCUGGGCAAAGCCUCUGUAGACGGCCAUUUCUCUCACACGAGAAACAACUUGCAGUAUGUUCUCAAGUCGCUUCUGAAACAAUAAAAAGCACCUGGCAAGAUGUAAAGAUGAGUUUUCCCAACUGUCUAACCUCUGAGAGAGUUUCCUCAGCAACCCAAAGGGAUCAUUUUUGCCCUACAAUAUAAGACUACCAUCUCUUUUCCUAAGUCCAGAUCAGUUCUUGGAAAUAUUGAAUUUUGAGAUUGCAACUUCCAGAAUUUCCAAGUACGGU
rnacentral:lncRNA from 1 species